CCCACUAACUAAUGAGCUACAGCUGAUUGUCCUCAUGAAGGUGUUUGGGUCAGGUUAUAUAAGCUUGGAAAGGCACCCAGGGCUCUAAAUUAGGAGGAGUUAGGGGCUAAAUUUUGCCCAAGGCCCUGCUGGGACCAUAUUGAUCAGAGGCUGCUUCGGCUGCUGCUUUCCUGGUUAUCACUUUUCCUACRGUGGUUGCCCUUUGUUCACACUUCACAAGCGGUGUCCGCAACACAAAAGGCRUGCAGAUCGCUGCCUGGCCCGGACAGCAAAGACACUUGUCACCCCUUUGCAAGACUGGCUGUCGCUAUCUUUUCUGCAGCACAACUGAUUUUCUUAAUCUGUUUCUAUGACUGAAUCCAGAUUUCUUUGCUGUACUCUGGUAGGAGUUAAUCAGUUUCUCACAAAGGAGGCACUAAAAUGUUUUAAUAUUUGAUCAUCUUUUUUCUUGCAAUGAGUGUUCCUUUCUCUAUAGGAAGAACACUGAACUUUCUGAAGGAAAGCACAAGUACUGUUAACAGCUUCCUUAUGCAGACAAGAAGCACGCAAUGAGAAAGCUUGGCAGGCUUUUAAUUCACUGAAAACAACUUAGAUCCAAGAGGAACUGUGGAAACUUGAGUCUUCUGCAUUUCUGAAGAUGAGAUUCUCAGGGAACUGUGUCAAGCCAGCAAGAACACUUGGUUUUAAAACUUGGACUAGACCUCAAGAAUUACUGGCUUUAGUUUCUGUAUUAAGACCACUAAGAUCUGCUGCUUGGAYGAUUGUACAGAUUUUACGCAACCACAUCCUGCUCUCUUAUGAUUAAUGGUUUUUUUUAAUAAAGAUCACGUGGAAUAACUUAAAUCCCCUUUGUGGGAACAAUCCCUGUGUAAGGUGUGAACAUUUGUACCCAUCACAGAGUUUGAUGUAGAAGGGUCCUUGUAGUUAACAGGCAAAGUGACAUUUUUGCCUGCUAAGCUCAGCUCACAGUUUCCUUGCUCAUCUCUUCCUUUGUCAUAAGCUUAAAAAUUUUAAAGAAAAAGCAUAAGGGCAUUGAGGGGAAAAAUCAGGAAAAGAUAAAGUGAAGUAAAAGUAAAGGCAGCAAAGUUAAGAUCAAGUGGAGACAAAAGAACUGUUUAAUCAUUGCACAUG